AAGUGCAGUUCCCUUGGACUUACGUGUCUAACGAGGAAGAAAGGCUUCAUUCUGGGACCUUCAGGGUAGCCUGGCUUGCACACUGGAUCUAGGUUCACGGGUCAUGAAAACUACAGUGGCUUUCUUCCCUCCCAAGCCUCCAGCUACUCCCAAUCUGAGCAAAUGGCCCCCAGAUGGAUUCUAUGUUCUGAGUCCGUCCCCAGGACAGAGGGAGGUCCAGUUUGAGCUUUAUUACAAAUCCUGUAGGUCGGCUUUAGAUUAUAGACAUGGCUUCCUCAGGCAAGGCUGCCCACUUGAGGGAAACAAUUUUGUUGGCUGGCUGGGUGGUUGGUGUAGGGCUCACAUUUGGGAGUUCACUCCUUUCUCUCCCUUUGUCUGAAACGAUCAGCACCUUGUUGUGCCUGUUCACUAGCAGUACUCGG
rnacentral:lncRNA from 1 species